UUCCUGCGCAGACAGUUUCCGGGCAAAGUUUGACAUCAUCGUCUCAACCAGUUAUGCCGGGAAACGCAAUAUCUCCAACAUGGCCAUUAUCGACGUCAAGAUGCUCUCUGGCUUCGUACCUGUCAGUUCAUCCCUGCAAAAGCUUCGUGAGGAUCAGAAAGUGAUG